ensembl:lncRNA
UGCGUUUGAUGCGGGAGGCUGCGUAAACUGCUGAUACAGAUGCUGUUGGCGUGAGGGAAACACUGAAGUGUAUCCAGGGUGCAAUCCUGCUGAUUAGGUUUCCUUUGUGCUGAUCAAUGUAAAGAAGUAAACGCUAAGUUCUGUUCAUUCAUUCACUCACACAGCGGGACGUAAACCAGUAAAACUGCUUGUCUGGAAAGCUGCAAUUCAGGAAAGCCGGACAUAUUGUUAUUUGGUACUAGAUGGAAGAUCACUAUUUAAGAAGUCUGGUUGUGUUUAUAUUUAAGGCCGGGGAUAUACUUGCCCUUAACUAUGAAGCCAGCUGUCGUGAGCAUCCUGCUACGUGACUGUUCAUGUCCAAAAAAAGUUAACACGUGCAGAUGAUAAAACACCAACAUAAACAGAGGGGGCAGCGUGUGAACAACAUGAUGGUGCUUUCCAUAAAAGAGACAGAUGGUGCUUCUUGUCACCAACUUCUCUCAUAAAUACAGCUAGAGAAAUAUACUUGGUGCUGAUUGGUAUAAUAACCUGAUGUUUCUACCUACGCUAACUCAGCUGCCCCAGUCUCCAUCAUCUUCUAAAGAUACACAGCAGAGGUCGACCGAUGGGGGAUUUUACCCACACCGAUAACCGAUAUUAACUUUAUUACAAAAAUAAACAGUACUGACUGUACCAUGAAAAUGUACGCUGCUGUUUUAAAUAAAAUAAACAUAUAAAUAUCAAUCGAUAUAUUAACUAUUCGUUAGGGGGUGCUCCGAUCAGGAUUUUUGGGGCUGAUCACCGAUCCCCGAUGGCUGGAAGCUGUAUCGUCCGAUACCAAUCACAGGGUCUCUUUAAAGCCUUCUAUUCGUCAUGUAGCAUUAUUUAUAGAGCUGCAACAACUAAUCGAUGAAAUGGAUAAUAAUCGAUUAUGAAAAUCGUCGUCAACGAAUCUCAUUAUGGAUUAGUUGGUCUGCGCGCGGCACGGGGGAGAUUUAUUCAUUACGUUACUUCUGUUCCGAAAACACGCUUCGGAGAGUAAAUACUAAAGUUGUGUCCCAAAUGAAGUACUGUACACUUACACUAUGCACUAUAUACUCUACCGUCUAGUGUGUGGAUUUUAGAAAGGUAAUAUCAUCUCAAAUAGAACACUAGCAGGUUUUUUUACUAACCGGAAGUAUAAGCCACAACGGCACAUGACAUGAUACGCACGCUAGCAUUAGCAGACACCGAGUCAACGACAACAACUUUCUUCAGUUUACUUUGUCAGCGUUACAUUUUAUUCCCAACAUGACCUCAGUCUCCAUCAGACAGAGGCGAAAUCGUCACGAACUGAGGAAGAAAGUGUGCAACCUCCAAGUGCCUCUAAGGUAGGGGGGCAUUUUAAACACCGUGGAAAUCAAACUGAUGCACGAGCACAAAGUUAUGUUUAUAUCCAAAAUGCUCCACUGUGUGUAAGGGGCAGGGGAAACUGGUGCAAGCUGCUUAAAAGGUUUAGAUUAAUUUAAGUUUCUUGUCAUUUAUAUGCUGUAUUUGUGCGCUUGCAGUGUAAAUUCUGUCGUUUAUUAUAACGGAAGUGAUGUGUUAGUAACGAGGCCGCGUUGCUGAUCAAGCGUGGUAUCAGCGCGUCUACACAGAGUGUAGUGCGAGUAAGAUCUGUAAUGUCUAAUUAAAACACUAUGGUCAAAAGUAAACACAAGUAAAAUAAUAUUCCUAAAGUCAGCGAGUAACAGAAGCCACAAGGUGCAGUGAAAGGGAGUUUUUAUUAUUCAUUUAGGACUGUAGUUUAAUUCAGUGCUUUUUGUGCAUCCAUAAACAUAAUGCAUAAACACUAUAAAAUAAUACAUAUAUAUACACACACAUUUAUUUUUAUAGUAUUUAUACAUUAUUUUUUAUGGAUGCACAAAAAGCACCGAAUUAAACUACAGUCCUAAAUUAAUAAUAUAUAUUCUGGUGUGUGUGUGUAUUGAGUAAUUUUCUGUUUUGUACAAACAGUUGUGUAAAGUUUUAGUAUGAAGUU